rnacentral:sRNA from 1 species
GCUGGGUGUGGUGGCCCACGCCUGUAAUCCCAGCAGCUCGGGAGGCUGAGGCAGGAGGAUGGCCAGUUCAAAACCAGCCUCAGCAAAAGGGAGGCGCUAAGCAACUCAGUGAGACCCUGUCUCUA